AAACUCUUGAAAAAAAUUAUUAACUCUUAUAAUAUUUUAUAAACCUUUAUAUACAGAUUUAUAAGCCUCUAUAAAAUUUUAUAAGACUUCAUAAAAGAAUUACCUUUUGAAAUUCUACAAAUCCUCAUAAAUGAUUUUAUAAACCCUUAUAAAUAAUUUUAAACAUUCUUAUAAAUGAUUUAUAGACCCUUAUAAAAAGUUUCUAUAUAUUCCUAUAAAUGACUUUAAGACUUUAUAAAUGAAUUACCUUUCUAAAUAUUUAGAAAUGAUUCUAUAAAACCUUAUAAAUAUUUGGUAUAUUCUAAUAAGUGAUUUUAUAAAGGAUUUCUAUAUUUUCAUAAAUGAUUUAUAAACAUUUAUAAAUUAUUUGUAAUCACAAUACUAAAAGCGCAAUAUAAGCCUUGGAGAAGCAUGCCGCAUGGGAUCAAAAAAUCAACCAAUAAAAAACAUUUUCUUUGCCACGUCAGAACAGAGUUGUCUAGAUAAACUGGGCUUCGGUGUGGUUUCCAAAAAAUUUAUCGUGGCAAGUCGAGCCCGACAAUUCCAAUUCCAAUUCAUCUUCAAUUUCUCCAUUCUCUGUAAUCGCUCUAUCUUCCAUCUCUGUAACCCCCUAUUAAUCAAUGAUGCUUUUUAUACCUUCUGGUUGGUUUCAUUCCAACUUCCGUUUAUCCUCCUCCAAUAUAAAUGGCUUCGUCUAAUCCUAAAUCCUAUCAAGAUCGAAACCUAGCAGUAAGAGCGGCUGAAACCACUAAUCGUCGUAGAACUCCUUCUGAUCGAUGAGCAGCAGAGAGGUUUUAAUGAAGUUCACGAUAUUGAAGAGUUUGUCAAAGUUGGGAAAAGUGUUAGAGGCUGUCCAUAUUAUGCUGCCUGGUCAUUGGCGGAGAAUGCAGAACUGAUUUUUUUCCCUUAUUCAUACAUAGUUAAUCCUGUCAUUCGAGCAGGAGUUGAAGUAGAUCUGAAAGGAGCGAUUAUAAUAUUUGAUGAAGCACACAAUAUGGAAGACAUUGCUCGUGAAGCAGGAAGCGUUAACUUGGACGAAGAGACUCUUUUCAAAUUGCAGAGUGAACUGGAACAGAUGAGCGUGCCCCAACCAAUGAUAUAUCAACCUUUAUAUGAAGUAGUAGAGGGAUUGAUAAGCUGGAUUGGAAGAAAAAAGGAUUCUCUAGAAAAACAUGAUUUUCAGCACUAUUUCUCUAGUCUACGGGAAGUCUGGAAGCCCAGUUGAUCAUAUGAGUUGCUUUGGAGAUGUUGCAAGACGCUUUCAGGAAACCGAUCUAGAUGAAGCCACUAAAGGGAAACAAUACAUCCACUCUUGCCUUAGGUACUUCCAUAAUGAUUUCGAUGUUAGUUUUAUCUGAUCACUGAGGACGUUGCCUAUAUUUUUCUACCAAUGACCAAUUGUAGUGAUCUAUUAUCAGCUUAAAGUAUGUACUCUUUAAACUCUGCUUUGAUUCCAUUUCACUUUCCAUAUUUUGUUUGAGGAGGGAAAAUAUUGAUGGUCAGUCUCGCCAGAGUUUGAUUAUAUGAGAUCGAGAUCAUUUAGGUUCUUUUUCCUAAAUUCAGAAGUUUUCCUCCAUUGUUUGAGAAUACACUCGGGAGCUGACCCUUGCAAGUUUUUCUCUCCUUUGGUAUCUAUGACUAACUAUCUGGAUAGGUCUCUAGACGACUUGAAACUGGUAGUUUGCUUAUUACUACUGUUUACUAGGUCAACUAGAAUUAUUAAAUUGCUGCUUUGCUUGUUAUGAUGCAUAUACGCAAGUAUCACGCUCAUUUACUGCAAAAGGCGUUUGGAAUGAAGAUGAGGAUUGCAGCCUACUGGCCUAUCGUCUUGCAGAGAAUUAUUGACAGCAUCUCAAUGCAUCUUCACCUCUCUGUGAAUUAUCUGGUCAACAGUCGCUUUCAGACAGAGAUCAUAGCUGAAAUGGUGGAUUUUGGAGGUGGUGGAAGAGUUGAGAGGAUGCUGCGAGGUGAUGAGCAAGAGAAGGAGAUAAUGAAGAGCCGUAUCGGUCUCUUGAAGGAUAGUGUUGAGGUCGUUUAGCCAUUCCUCUUGGUUAAAACAAAAUUGGCUUCGGUUUUCGUAAAGUUUGUGUUAUGAGUGGCUUCGGUUUGAUUGGUUUUCUGAUGUCUUUUUUUUCCUUUAUUUUGGGAAGUGAUUGCGUUAUCAAUCUUUGUAAGGAGAUAACAAUGAUUCAAACACGAUGGUAUAGUUUACGUGCAAUAAUUGAAGUUCUCAUUAUUGUAAGAA